rnacentral:rRNA from 1 species
GACGAACGCUGGCGGCGUGCUUAACACAUGCAAGUCGUACGGUAAGGCCCUUUCGGGGGUACACGAGUGGCGAACGGGUGAGUAACACGUGAGUAACCUGCCCACAACUUUGGGAUAACGCUAGGAAACUGGUGCUAAUACUGGAUAUGUGCUCCUGCUGCAUGGGGGGGGUUGGAAAGCUCCGGCGGUUGUGGAUGGACUCGCGGCCUAUCAGCUUGUUGGUGGGGUAGUGGCCUACCAAGGCGGCGACGGGUAGCCGGCCUGAGAGGGUGACCGGCCACAUUGGGACUGAGGGACGGCCCAGACUCCUACGGGAGGCAGCAGUGGGGAAUAUUGCACAAUGGGCGCAAGCCUGAUGCAGCAACGCCGCGUGCGGGAUGACGGCCUUCGGGUUGUAAACCGCUUUCAGCAGGGACGAAGCUUUUUGUGACGGUACCUGCAGAAGAAGCACCGGCUAACUACGUG